GAUGAACGCUGGCGGCGUGCUUAACACAUGCAAGUCGAACGGAAAGGCCCAAGCUUGCUUGGGUACUCGAGUGGCGAACGGGUGAGUAACACGUGGGUGAUCUGCCCUGCACUUCGGGAUAAGCCUGGGAAACUGGGUCUAAUACCGGAUAGGACCACAUUUUGGAUGGUGUGGUGGAAAGUUUUUCGGUGUGGGACGAGCUCGCGGCCUAUCAGCUUGUUGGUGGGGUAAUGGCCUACCAAGGCGUCGACGGGUAGCCGGCCUGAGAGGGUGUACGGCCAAAGUGGGAUGGAGAACCGGCCCAGAUCCUGAGGGGGGGCAGGAGGGGGGAAAAUGGAAAAAGGGGGGAAAGCGUGAUGGAGGGACGCGGGGGGGGGGAGGAGGGCUUUGGGGUUGAAAACCCCUUGGCCUGGGAACGAGGGGUUGUGGGGGGGUAACGGGAAAAGAAGCCCGGGCAAACAAGG
rnacentral:rRNA from 1 species